AGGAGCCGAAGAAGGACGUGACAAGCUGCGAUAAGCUGCGGUGAGCUGCACAUAAGCUUUGACCCGCAGAUUUCCGAAUGGGGAAACCCGGCAGAGCAAUACUCUGUCAACGUGCGUUGAAUCAAAUAGGCGUACGUGGGGAACCGCCUGAACUGAAACAUCUAAGUAGGGCGAGGAAGAGAAAUCAACCGAGAUUCCGCCAGUAGUGGCGAGCGAACGCGGAAGAGGCCAAACCAGAGGAUUUAUU
rnacentral:rRNA from 1 species